AACAAAAACAUGGCCUUUUGGGUGGAAUUUAAGGUCGGGCCUGCCCACUGACGUAGUUGAAGGGCCGCGGUAUUUUGACCGUGCAAAGGUAGCAUAAUCAUUAGUCUUUUAAUUGAGGGCUGGAAUGAAUGGUUUGACGAAAUAUUAACUGUCUCUUUAUAAUAAAUAGAAUUUAACUUUUGAGUCAAAAGGCUUAAAUGAAUAUAAAAGACGAGAAGACCCUAUAGAUCUUUAUAUAGUUAAGUAAUUGUUUUAUUUAGUUGUUUUAUUUUCAAUUAUUUUGCUGUAUUUUGUUGGGGUGACAUGAAGAUAAAAAUAACUCUUUAUAAUGGGAACAUUGAUUUAUGAGUGAUUGAUCCGUUACUAACGAUUAUAAGAUAAAGUUACCUUAGGGAUAACAGCGUAAUUUUUUUUGAGAGUUCUUAUCGACAAGAAAGAUUGCGACCUCGAUGUUGGAUUAAGGAAUAUGAUUAGGUGUAGCAGUUUAAUUAAUAAGUCUGUUCGACUUUUAAAUCCUUACGUCAUCUGAGUUCAGGACCCGGA
rnacentral:rRNA from 1 species